rnacentral:rRNA from 1 species
GACGAACGCUGGCGGCGUGCUUAACACAUGCAAGUCGAACGGUAAGGCACCUUCCUUUUGGUGUGUGUGGAUGAGUGGCGAACGGGUGAGUAACACGUGACUAACCUGCCCCCUUCUUCUGGAUUCCCGCAUGAAAGUGUAGCUCAUACUGGGUAUUCUGGGUCUGUCGCAUGGCGGGCCUGGUAAAGACAUUUUUGCGUUGGGUCGCGGGCUCGCGGUCUGUCAGCUUGUUGGUGGGGUGAUGGCCUCGUGAGGGGUUGCCGGGUAGACGGCCUGAGAGGGUGGACGGUCAGAGUGGGAGUGAGGCACGGUCGAGACUCCGACGCGAGGCAGAAGUGGGGAGUAGUGAACAAUGGGGGCAAGUGUGAUGCAGCGAGGCGGCGUGAGGGAUGGAGGCCUUCGGGUUGUAAACCUCUUUGGCCAGUGAAGCAGGCCUGCCCCUUAUGUGGGUGGGUUGACGGUAGCGGGAUAAGAAGCGCCGGCUAACUACGUG